CAAAUUCGGUGUAAGAUGUUUCGUGUCCGCUAUAGAUUGGCUAAACGUGGAUGCCACGUGUUUUGAGAGACCCCGGUGUAAGACGCUACGCUUCGUGUCGCGCUUUAAAUAGGUCAAAUGAUAUUUCUUUCGCGACCGCCAUUUCGCUACGUCUCCCGCCCGCUCUGAUCCCUCUCUCCCCGCUCAAGAACUAGGGUUGUUCUUCGCUUCCGAUCCUUUCUUGGAUCGAUUCGUAAUGGUGAGCGUCUAUCUCCACCACGACGGUGACAAAUUCGACGCCGCUCAUUAGAAGAAACCAGGCGCCGGCCGCUCGUUUCAAGAAGGCCCUCGCGGCUACCAUGUCCGCUGCCGUUCUUCCGGCCAAGUUCGACUCGAAGCCUCCUUCCACUGCCGAAGCAGGUUCGAGAUGUUAAUUCCAUCCUUCCUUCCAGCUAUUUGUGGGAUCGACGUAGUUGUUGACAUAGUUCUUGUUACCGGGUCCUGAAACCUCUUCCAAGAAUUAGGGAUCUGCUCUCUUCUGAUCCUUUCGUCGUUCGAUUCGAAACGGCCAGCUUCAAACCCUUCCAUCCCUUCACGACAAUGAUGGUGAACGUCCUGUCUCCCUCCUCGCCGCCCAUCAGAAGAAAUUGGACAGCGCUUUGCCGGCCGAAGCACGUUGGAGAUUCUAAACCUACAUUGGUUUCUUUUCUCUCUCACUUUGCAGCCGGAUCGUGGUUGAUCCGAGUGCCUCUUGUAUAUGGUUCUUGGAAUGAUCGAUUGGUCAGUGAAGGGUGAUGGCUGGAGAUGGGCGAGGACGCGGCAACAUCACAAGAGGCCAAGACAGCGACCAUAGAUCUGGCCACAGGCGGUGCGCUUACUUUGGUUUCGCUGAUACGGCUAUGCAUGAAAAUCGAUUUGGGGCAGCAUGAAGAGAUGGGAUGGCUGACCGAAAGAGGACGUGGAUGUCGUGAUGGACCCCCAGUGAUCACCGUCGUCGUCGACCCGGAAGAAGCCUUCGGGCUGGUUAUGGCAUGGCGUUGAAGAGGUGGGGUCAGAGUGACUCGCCUUCCAGGAGACGGUUUAAUCAUAGCAGUUGAAAUGGACGUAGGUAAAUAAUCUAAGAUUAUGAAUUCGAGAUGGAUUUGUUGCUCCUUUUGGAUUGAGAUUUACCCUGAUCUGUAAGAUGUGACUGGGCGCACUGGUUGUCCCCGUGGUAACUGGGAGACUCCUAACCAAAGCAAACUAUCUGAUGCUCGAAUCUGGAGGAGUUUAGAGCUGCAGGAGAUGCUGUUGGAAUGAUGCACUGGAUGGAUCGGAGACCAGUGAGGUGACUCAAGGAGGAAGAAGAAGAUGAAGCAGUGUGGAGGACACGAAUGUGAUGGAGGAAGAGGGAGGAGGAAGCAUACUUGUCGACAGCGCACGACAAGCAAUAGGCAGUUGGCUGUAGAAUGAGGUGAAACAACGCAUGAAGGGCUCACAUUCGAGUGAAGAGAAGGGCUCACGUUUGGUAUGCAGUGGGUGGUGACAAGCGGUAGCAAGAGGCAAAACAACAUGCAUUUAGGCGAAGAGAGUAGCAAGAGGCAAAACAACAUGCAUUUAGGCGAAGAGAGUUUAUGAUACUCAACCUAAUGGUUCAUGCACGGACCGAUACAUACCGUUUAUAUUGUUACAACACCUUUAUAUUGUUACGAGAACAAAUGUUGAGAUGGUGGAUAGCAAAUAUUGUAACAGUGAUGAACUGUGAUAACCGGUUUUGUUAUUAAAACAAAGCAGUUUUGUGUUA